rnacentral:tRNA from 1 species
GAAAUAAGUGAUUCAAAGGUAAGCUUCUAACUUAACCUUUUAGCGAUGAAAUUCGUUAGUAUUUCU